rnacentral:rRNA from 1 species
CCUACGGGUGUCAGCAGUGAGGAAUAUUGGUCAAUGGGCGAGAGCCUGAACCAGCCAAGUCGCGUGAGGGAGUACUGCCCUAUGGGUUGUAAACCUCUUUUGUCGGGGAGCAAAAUCCGGACGUGUCCGGCUGUGAGAGUACCCGAAGAAACAGCAUCCGCUAACUACGUUCCAGCAGCCGCGGUAAUACGUAGGUGGCAAGCGUUUUUCGGAUUUACUGGGUGUAAAGGGCGUGUAGACGGGUUGACAAGUCAGAUGUGAAAUCCUGCGGCUUAACCGCAGAACUGCAUGUGAAACUGUUGAUCUUGAGUACAGGAGAGGCAGACGGAAUUCGUAGUGUAGCGGUGAAAUGCGUAGAUAUUAGGAGGAACACCAGUGGCGAAGGCGGCCUGCUGGACAGCAACUGACGGUGAGGCGCGAAAGCGUGGGGAGCAAACAGGAUUAGAUACCCCUGUAGUC